AACGAACGCUGGCGGCAGGCCUAACACAUGCAAGUCGAGCGAGGACUUCGGUCCUAGCGGCGGACGGGUGAGUAACGCGUGGGAACGUGCCCUUUGCUUCGGAAUAGCCCUGGGAAACUGGGGGUAAUACCGGAUGAGCCCUUUGGGGGAAAGAUUUAUCGGCGAAGGAUCGGCCCGCGUUGGAUUAGGUAGUUGGUGGGGUAAUGGCCUACCAAGCCGACGAUCCAUAGCUGGUUUGAGAGGAUGAUCAGCCACACUGGGACUGAGACACGGCCCAGACUCCUACGGGAGGCAGCAGUGGGGAAUCUUAGACAAUGGGGGAAACCCUGAUCUAGCCAUGCCGCGUGAGCGAUGAAGGCCUUAGGGUUGUAAAGCUCUUUCAGCUGGGAAGAUAAUGACGGUACCAGCAGAAGAAGCCCCGGCUAACUCCGUG
rnacentral:rRNA from 1 species